rnacentral:lncRNA from 1 species
GGACCGGCACCGCGCGUGCGUAGAGCUGUCAGCCGCACCCACGACGCGCUUCCAACAAAGUUGCAAAGCAACCGGCAGACCUGUCAGAACGGUGACGAUCCCGGCGAUGGAAGAAAGGCGAAACUGCUCCGCGUGGGCUGCCCGGAGUGGCAUCGCGCCUUGUUCGAGUCCGAAGAAGUUCCCGCUUCUCUAAACCGGCUGAAGAGAUGCGAGUCUCCUCCUCUUGUCCCAACGGGACUGCGUCCUGACACCGAGUGGACUCCGCCCCGAGAGUGCGAGCGUCCUGAGCGAUCAGGGCAUCCUGAGCCGCGGAAGGCAUCCGGCCACACCCCGCUCUUUACCCGCCAACGCCAGCCCAGGUGGUCAGGCUCAGAAUGGACUGUGAGCCCGUGUGUUAUGGAUCUCUGGUUGUAGAGACAAAAGAACAAAGAUGGAAGCCACCAAGGAUGCUCCCGGCUGAAUGAAUUGUUGCUCUCUGGCUUACACAAAGUCAAGCGAAUGAUCUUCCUAUGUUAUGUAAUAUAUCAACGACCUGCUUACCUUACUCCUUUAAUCUACGUUAUUCUGGAAAGUACCACUUGAAACAAAAGAGUAGAUACAUUCUACUGGAAAUAUGACCCUCAGAGAAGGAAAGAAAGACCGAGGGUUGAACCUGAACACAUGAAAGAGAAUCCAAGACUUUCCCUAAGAGACUCUCUCCUGUUCUCAUGAUGUGCUAAUGACAGAAAUCAUAUGACUAAUGGAGAGAAACUGGUAGAUAUACAAGAAAAACUGCAUUGGGAUAACCGCCAUCUUACAAAGGGACGCAUCCAGGCCUAUUCUGCCCUUGGACCACAUUGUAUGCUUAGUGUUUCAGAAGAGAGAAAUCAUCAAAGGCGCACCCAAAGAAACAUCUGAAUGAAAGCUCAGUGGCAUUUGCUUUUCCCAAGGACCAGCAUCAUGGUUUCAGAGUUAACACACUGGAGAAAUGCCUAACCCUCCAUGUCACUCCCUACAUCCUCAACACUCACUCAGAGAGGGACAUCGAAGAAAGGAUCACCAGUGAGUCGUACUUCUCAAAGAGAAAGCAGAAGUUUAUUGCUGCUGAAAGUCUAUGAAUAAAUCCAUGCUCCAAAUCACAACCCGAAAAAGCUCCAGAAAGGAUGCACAUGGUCUAAAAAAUGGAGAGACUGGUGUCCCAUGCCCUGUCUUGUUACCCUGAGACAUGAUGUUGGGUAGAGUUGGUCUAGGUACAAUAUCAUUGAAUUUGCAGGUGCCUAAGUGUAGGGGAAUCACAUUGCCAUAUACAGUCAUUAUAGUGUCGGGAGACAAGAAAAUCUCUUUCCGGUGCAUCUGAGAACAUUGGAAAAAUAAUUGCAAUGGCCUGCAGACCUCAGGGACUCUCUGGAGAGAUACAGUGUGACCUCUGAAAACGCUUUAGAUUCUGUCAAAUAUCAAGAUGCAGAUCCAUAUCAGUGAUUACCAAAAAGGCUUGUUCAAAUCAUUGUUCUUGAAGAUAGUCACAGAUAGACACCAAUCAAGAGUCAAAUGCUGUAUCCUCUAACCAUUUAAAGCUUGGAUACAGCCCUGAGUGUAAAGGAAGUACUGUGUACCCCUUUGCCACACGAAGGUCAUAUAUUCAAAUCUCACCCCUCCCAAAGGUGAUGAUAUUAGGGGGUUGGGACUUCCAGGAGUGAACAUAACAUAUUCCCUUAUUAAAAAGGCUCAAGGGAGCUCACUUACCCUUCUGUCAAGUGACAACAGACAGCUGCUGUGAGUAAUUAAGUGUGUUCUAGCCACAGACCCUGCCAGUGCCUUGAUCUUGAAUUUUCUAGUCCGAAGAAGUAUGAGACAUUUCUGUUAUGUAUAAUUUACUCAAUAUAUAGUAGGUGUUCUGUUAGCUUAUUUUAAAAUGCAAUGCCUGUAUUUAUCUUGAAAAUAAAGGACUUUAGGUGUGUGUGUGUGUGUGUGUGUGUGUUUGUGUGUGUGUGUCCACAUACAUAGCAUAGACAAUAUGUAAGAUCUGUGUUCAGUUUUGGAAAAAAUAAAGCCAUGUUGCCAUACA